rnacentral:misc_RNA from 1 species
GAUGAAGAACGUAGCGAAAUGCGAUACGUAAUGUGAAUUGCAGAAUUCAGUGAAUCAUCGAAUCUUUGAACGCAUAUUGCGCUCUCUGGUAUUCCGGAGAGCAUGCUUGUUUGAGUAUCAGUAAACACCUCAACUCCCUUUUCUUUUUUGAAAUUGGAGCUGGACUUGAGUGAUCCCAACGCUUUCUUCCAAGAAAGUGGCGGGUUGCUUGAAAUGCAGGGGCAGCUGAACUUUUCUCUGAGCUAUAAGCAUAUCUAUUUAGUCUGCCUAAAAAACAGAUUAUUACCUUUGCUGCAGCUAACAUAAAGGAGACUAGUUCUUGUGCUGACUGAUGCAGGAUUCACAGAGACAGCUUCGGCUGACUUUGUAAACUCGAUCUCAAAUCAAGUAAGACUACCCGCUGAACUUAAGCAUAUCAAUAAGCGGAGGA